rnacentral:rRNA from 1 species
AAUUAUUGGGCGUAAAGCGCGCGCAGGCGGAUUGGUCAGUCUGUCUUAAAAGUUCGGGGCUUAACCCCGUGAUGGGAUGGAAACUGCCAAUCUAGAGUAUCGGAGAGGAAAGUGGAAUUCCUAGUGUAGCGGUGAAAUGCGUAGAUAUUAGGAAGAACACCAGUGGCGAAGGCGACUUUCUGGACGAAAACUGACGCUGAGGCGCGAAAGCCAGGGGAGCGAACGGGAUUAGAUACCCCGGUAGUCCUGGCCGUAAACGAUGGGUACUAGGUGUAGGAGGUAUCGACCCCUUCUGUGCCGGAGUUAACGCAAUAAGUACCCCGCCUGGGGAGUACGACCGCAAGGUUGAAACUCAAAGGAAUUGACGGGGGCCCGCACAAGCGGUGGAGUAUGUGGUUUAAUUCGACGCAACGCGAAGAACCUUACCAGGUCUUGACAU